rnacentral:rRNA from 1 species
AUACGUAGGGGGCGAGCGUUGUCCGGAAUGAUUGGGCGUAAAGGGCGCGUAGGCGGCGCGGUAAGUCUGGAGUGAAAGUCCUGCUUUCAAGGUGGGAAUUGCUUUGGAUACUGCCGCGCUUGAGUGCAGGAGAGGUUAUCGGAAUUCCCGGUGUAGCGGUGAAAUGCGUAGAGAUCGGGAGGAACACCAGUGGCGAAGGCGGGUAACUGGACUGCAACUGACGCUGAGGCGCGAAAGUGUGGGGAGCAAACAGGAUUAGAUGCCCUGGUAGUCCACACUGUAAACGAUGAAUGCUAGGUGUAAGAGGUAUCGACCCCUUUUGUGCCGGAGUCAACACAAUAAGCAUUCCGCCUGGGGAGUACGGCCGCAAGGUUGAAACUCAAAUGAAUUGGCGGGG